UGUCUGUCCUGUCUGCAUGUCUGUCUGCAUGUCUGUCUGCAUGUCUGUCUGCAUGUCUGUCUGCAGACAGACAUGCAGACAGACAUGCAGACAGACAUGCAGACA
rnacentral:miRNA from 1 species